GUGAGCCGUGUGAUGGGAAACCUUCCCGCACAGUUCGGAGAGCACUGAAUUAGAAUGAGAGGUUCACCACCACAUCAUUGCAUGCAAGGGGAGCUCGCUCGAUUCGCAAAUUGGCAAGGGGGAAUCUCGAAAUAUUAGAACAUAAAAUCAAUCUAUCAUUUGAU
rfam:Morus notabilis contig23673, whole genome shotgun sequence.